GUCACUUUCCACAAUAUAUACAAGGUUGUGCUCUCCCACAAAAAUAAAACAAAAAGAAAAUAAAUCCUACUCCAACUUGGAGACUUACUAAACAACAGCAGGUUUCACACAGUACCUUUUUCUCAGAGUCUCAGGCUUAACUGCCUCCUCUCUCCCAGCUGUUAGAUUCCCCCAUGUCUUCAGAGGCUAACCUUUUAAAAC